CCCUCCCUGACUCGCUCUCUCUCUCUCUCUCUCUCUCAAAACUAAACAUAAAAAAAAAAAAAGAAGUCAAAUCCUAACAUAUGAAACUGCUAUGUGAGCAACCUGACACCUAUUUCCACUUUCGUCACAGAUAAAGAAAAGAUCCACUGAACACAGCCUUUUGGAAUAUUAACGUGAAAUUCAUAGGAACUUGUAAUGGCUUAUGAAAAAAUAAUGUAGAAAGUGAUUUCUCUGCAGAGUUACAGAAGAUAGGAAUCAGAGCUUGCACAACCAGUAGGGAAAAUAUAUAAUUUAGUACAAAAGGCCUGGUGCUCCUUCAGAAUCGGCGGAGAGCCUCCACGUCUGAGGUUACUGAGAUUCUACGGGGAAACUUCCAAAGCCCAGAUGGCUGGGAAGCGCCAGGAGCUCUGAGGAAAAGGUGAAGGCAAGCCAAAUGCUGAGGCAGGAGCGACAACCCGGGAGAAGAAUGAAGAUGAGCCAGUUUCUGAGGAGAAAGGUCAUGGAGGUUUCCAGUGAUGAGGCAAAAGCUUUAGAUGAAUUAAUGUGCACAUUCGGCACGAGAUACUGAACACCUGUGUGUCACAG